AUAUGCAAAUCAAGGGGGCGUGUCCCGCCAACCACUACGCGCACCCGUUCUGCAGGGCGCGGCCGCUCUCGGGGUCUCGGGGCAUACUCCCGCGGUCAAGGGGCUCGGCGGGGCCACGCCGGUUCGUGCCGGGAGUGUGCGAGCACGUGUUGGGGACUUUCUGUGUGCUUUGUGUGGGUGCGUGCAGCACACCAGGGCGCGGCGGUAGGUGCUGUGUUAAGGCUGUACUCUCAGGGAUCGUUUGAGUAGGUUGUUAUUAGAAGAGGGUAAUCUGCCCUGAUUGGCGUCACAAAGCACGAGAAAACGGGCGCAGAACCUCCAUGUGUCAAACGUGACCCAACAUCUGCUUUUGCUUGCUGCACACCAUGUGUGGUUGAAGAAAGGAACCGAGAUGAUUGGUGCAGCCUUGUGAAGACAGGACUUGAGUACCCUUACAGUGAUGAAACAUUUCUGAAGGUCCUGAACGUUGCCAUCCAGUUACUAUACAAGAAAGAAUCCUCUGUUAGUCAGAGCUUAGUCAAGCUCUCCAAACUUCACGUGAUGGUCACACAGCACUCUCUAUUUUUGUCAACCAUCCUGAGGUCAAUAGAAGAAGAUGGCACAACAAUCCAGACAAGAGAGGUGCUGGUGGACAUUGUGCUGACAGCUGUGCAGCUCGGCUCCUCUCUCUGUGGGAGCAGUCACCUCCCAGUGCUUCUGGGAGCCUACAGGGCCACGCUGAGCGCCGCCAGGUGAGUGUCAACCUGGCCAAGGCACUUUGUUCUACAUCUCGUUCUUGUGUCCACAGGUCACUAACUUUGGGU